rnacentral:rRNA from 1 species
UACGUAGGGUGCAAGCGUUGCCCGGAAUUAUUGGGCGUAAAGAGCUCGUAGGCGGUCUGUCGCGUCGGCUGUGAAAACCCGAGGCUCAACCUCGGGCCUGCAGUCGAUACGGGCAAACUAGAGUACUGCAGGGGAGACUGGAAUUCCUGGUGUAGCGGUGAAAUGCGCAGAUAUCAGGAGGAACACCGGUGGCGAAGGCGGGUCUCUGGGCAGUAACUGACGCUGAGGAGCGAAAGCGUGGGGAGCGAACAGG